rnacentral:other from 1 species
UAUUCCCUGAAGUGUGCGAGGGCGCCACAUACGCGCCGGCCUCACUUCCAUAUAAUGGGUGCUGUCCUGCCAUGGGGGUGCGCAUGCCCCGAACGGGAAGCCUGAACCCAUGCGAAAGCGCCCGCCCUGACAUAAGAGGUCAGGGGCUAUCCGCGUCCACGGCAUUUCGGGGAUCUU